rnacentral:misc_RNA from 1 species
AACGCACAUUGCGCUCCCUGGUAUUCCUAGGAGCAUGUCUGUCUGAGCGUCAGUACACACCCUCCGUGGAUCUCUUUGUUGAGGUCCGUCGGGUCCUGAGGUUUUUCGAGCGAUCGGCGAUGUGAAAACGUCUCCCCGGUCCUCGAGCCUCUAAAGUGGAACGCCAGCGGCCCGCCUGCCCAUGAAAGACGUAGUAAACACAUGAACCGUCCACGAAAGGGUUUGGAAAGGCUCGCCUCGAAUCUAUACAUCAAGGUUUGACCUCAGAUCAGACAAGAAUACCCGCUGAACUUAA